ACGAUUCCUAAACCCAACUCGUUCUUCUCUUCCUAAACUAACCCGUUCUUCUUGUGCUAAACCCAACCCAACCCUGUUCUUCUUUUCCUAAACUCAACC